rnacentral:rRNA from 3 species
CCUACGGGAGGCAGCAGUGGGGAAUAUUGCACAAUGGGCGCAAGCCUGAUGCAGCGACGCCGCGUGAGGGAUGACGGCCUUCGGGUUGUAAACCUCUUUCAGUAGGGAAGAAGCGAAAGUGACGGUACCUGCAGAAGAAGCGCCGGCUAACUACGUGCCAGCAGCCGCGGUAAU